AUACCUUUGAAAGAUUUAUUCCAGCCGAUCAAUAGUUACCAAGGUCCAACCUACAUUUUGUUUGACAAACACAAGAAGAUACAAGUUAGUUCAAAAUCAUUUAACGUGUUCUAUUAUUAAGUAUCUGGUGGGUGUGGGUAUUUUGUAUUAGCUUUAUACCAAAAUAUAUUGAUAAUGUGGCAAUGGCAAAUUGCAAAACAAAACCAACACUAUUUCACUCCAGCUGCUCAUGGCAGUUGUCACGCAAUCGUACAGGCUGGACCUGGAUAAGCAAAUAAGAAAUGGAUUGACCAUUUCUAUGCAAACAGGUUAGUCAGAAGAUGAUCUAGUCUUCUCGGGUUCUGCUGCACGGAAGAUUUUUCAUUGACAACAGAUAGGGUUGGUUAUUUUUUCUCUUCUAUGCUUCAGACCUGUUCAGACAGACAUUCAAACCUUCGCACGGCCCAGUAAUUCUUGUGUUCUGUCCUGUUGCAAAUACGAUGACCCAUUGGAAUCCAUAGUAUACACGCAAUAACUAUAAGUGAGUGGACACCAUAUAUUUACCAUGUCCUCAAUAACUAUAACUUUAAUGAAAAUCAUGUAAAACAGCACAAUGUUACGAUAAUGCACAUUUUGCCAAGUUUCUUCCAUACUAUUGAGGACUGAAGGGGAACGUGGUUUAUUGGAUUGUUAUUCACAGUCCUUGGGAUUUGACGCAACAUUGUAAAGUGAAUGCAUUCUAACAUUGAAUAUAUCGGACUGAGUGUUGGUAAGAAAUCACCAAUAGUGCGCCAAGAACUGUACCUAUGCACCAAAUUGUUAUCUAUAUAGGGUGCUUGCCUCAUAGAAUAUUCCCAAAAAUUGUAGGUGAAAUGCUGACAAACAUAAUGCUGAAAAUAACAUAGAUCUGUAUAUUUUGUUUACACAGUAUAUCUGAGGUCUAGCCCAAACACAAUAAUUGAGAUGUUUUGAAAAAUUCUAACAUUAUUACUUGAGAUAUUUAAAAAAGGGGGUUUUAGGUUGAUUGAGGAAACGGAGACAGAACAAGGUAAUCCUGCAACAUAUUGGAGAAUAUGUGCAGUGUCAUUUAAAACAGUUUUGUUCAUAAGUUUGGGUUUGGGUCUCCUCAGUUUGCUAGACAGUCAACAGAAACCGUAUCUUUACACUGACUUACUUGCACACAGUCCUGGUUGUCCACUAGAUGUCUCCUCGUCUCUACCUCUGAUGAUUCACUUCACGCUGUGUGCACAAUGAGCAUCACAUGAUACUUUACCUCUUGUGUCUUUUUGUUGCUUUUGUCUCAAUGACGCCUCACACCUCGUGAAGUUUUCUUAUCACUGCUGUUCUAAUAUCAGUUUUUGUUUUCUUUCACAUACAUUCUCGAGUGUUCGCUCCUGUCGGUCACUCUGAGCUCUUGUUUUUCUUUCUGCAGACCCCCGUGCCCUAUUGCUGCUGCCAUGACAACAAUAAUGUUUGUCAUACUGAUUGUGUGCCAAAUACACUGAACAAUUACCUCCUGUCUGAUAGAGUGAAGCCCGGCCUUUUUCCAACAGCAAUUGCUCAGCAUUGCGUUUAUGUAAACAUUUGCUUGUAGGAGAUCAAUAUGUGCCUGUGGUGACAACAUGCUUUCACUUAACGAGAGGCCCUUCAGCAGGACCAUCUGUGAUUUGUCGCUCUGCAGUCGUUGACCCAACGGUUUGUCUCCGCUCUUGGCCGCACUGAGUCCUAUCCAUAUCUGAAGGCAUCCACUGGUGCAGCGGCAGACACAACAGGAUAAGCGUCUUUGUCUCAGACUCCUGUCUGUCAGAAACACCCCCCUCCCAGCCUCUCCUCUAUUUGGGCGGCUGUUACAGAGAGGGCAGAUGGCUCAUUACCAUAAAUAGGACAGAGAGAGAGAGUAAGUGAGGGGGCCUUGCACACCGACCAACAGGACCAUGCCUCCCAAAACCAAGGAAAUGGGAGGCCGUUGCUAGGAGAGAGGAAAGACAGCUUUAUGGCAAUACAAAGCUGAUUCCCCCAUCCGACCUCAUAUCGCUCCCGCCCCCUCGUUCCCCGCUCUGGGGACAGAGACUUGAAUCUACUGGUUUGGGGACAGAUGGUCAAUGGGCCCCACCGUCUAUACAGCUGGACACGGGCUACACCGACACAGUCGGACCUGGCAGGACUGAAUCACACCUAAACCUGUCCAACGUAUCAGAAGAAGGGAAGCGCUGCAGCCUAGGCCAUCAGCUAAGAAUAGAUCCACACUUGUUGCCCACGGAAAAUGUGUGGCUGCACAAUAGAUGAUAAUAUGUUAAGAGUUUGUCUUUGUAGUAGUGUAAUGCUGUCUCUAGGAUGAAAAUCAUUCACUGAGGAUAAUGACAGGUUGUCUCUUUCUUCUCUCUUGAUGCUAUUUAGUUUAUUAACACUUUCUGGCAAUGAUUUGGUCAACCCUAUGGGGAAGUUCUACAAUGAGACACUCCCUACACAAACACACACAGAAAUCCAAACAUGACUCUGAUGUAAAUAGGAGUAUGUUGGGUUUUUUAAAAAUCUCCCUUGUUCUGAUAAUCUGGACAUCCCCCAUUAAAGUGACUGAACUUUAAAAUGGCUGCCAUGUUUGUUAAAUGUUUUCCUCCACAAAUGGAAAAAAGGGUUCCAAAAUAGGUGAAGCACUUCUUCCUAUAUGGAAAGUAUCUCAGCCAUGACACCACCUGAAACCAUCUGAAACAAUGGCACAUCUGCUCUCACUAGACCUCUGGUUGAAAGGGCAA